GAUGAACGCUAGCUACAGGCUUAACACAUGCAAGUUGAGGGGUAACGAGAGGGAAGCUUGCUUUCCUUGUCGACGACCGGCGCACGGGUGAGUAACGCGUAUCCAACCUGCCCCCAACUAGGGAAUAACCUUGCGAAAGUAAGACUAAUACCCUAUAAUUUCCUCAGAUGUCAUCUGACGAGGAAUAAAGAUUUAUCGGUUGUGGAUGGGGAUGCGUCUGAUUAGCUUGUUGGCGGGGUAACGGCCCACCAAGGCAACGAUCAGUAGGGGUUCUGAGAGGAAGGUCCCCCACAUUGGAACUGGGACACGGGCCAAACUCCUACGGGAGGCAGCAGUGAGGAAUAUUGGUCAAUGGGCGGAAGCCUGAACCGGCCAAGUAGCGUGCAGGAUGACGGCCCUAUGGGUUGUAAACUGCUUUUAUACAGGAAUAAAGUUAGCCACGUGUGGUUAUUUGUAGGUACUGUAUGAAUAAGGACCGGCUAAUUCCGUGCCAGCCGCCGCGGUAA
rnacentral:rRNA from 1 species